GGAAGAGUUUGAAGUUUGAAAUCCCAGAAUGAGGAAAUUCAUCCAGCUUGGAGACUUCCAAUCCCUUCAUUGUGCAGAAGCUUGCUCUUUUGAAGAUGCUCGUCUAAAAAUAAGAUCACGUGGAGGAGAAAUGACAUGUCUGGUGCUGAAAACAACCCUACUGGGACCAGGAGAUGUGGAGCAAAAUGUAUUCAGAAAGAGACUUUGCUCUGGAAACCAUUGCUCACUGCCCUGCUGCCAAGGUCACAGAGAGCUGGAGCUUUGCUGCUGCAAAGCUGUUUACAUACAAGGAUACACAGGAACGAAAGGUCAUGGGAGGUACUUGAGCCUGGAGUCUCCAAAGUCAAAAGACAAUAAACACACCAACUUUCAGGGCUUUUAACAAGCACAAUCGGGCCAAACAAAUUCUCACUUUGGAUGUAGAUCCACAACAUCUUGCAGCAGACGGAAAUAGGACUGGGGCAAGAGUUGGUACAAACAGAAAUACUAAGUUUAUCACGACCAAAAUAGGCAAUGGAGGGUAAAAGCCCGCAACCUACUUCAAAUAUAUCUGAACUGGUGUUAAAACUAAGCUAGCAUUGAAGAG
rnacentral:lncRNA from 10 species